rnacentral:tRNA from 1 species
GUGGUCUUGGUCUACGGGUACCUCGUAGCCUUCCAAGCUCAUGGCCCGGGUUCAAAUCCCGGUCGGCGCA